GAUGAACGCUGGCGGCGUGCCUAAUACAUGCAAGUCGAGCGAACAGAUGAGGAGCUUGCUCCUCUGACGUUAGCGGCGGACGGGUGAGUAACACGUGGAUAACCUACCUAUAAGACUGGGAUAACUUCGGGAAACCGGAGCUAAUACCGGAUAAUAUAUUGAACCGCAUGGUUCAAUAGUGAAAGACGGUUUUGCUGUCACUUAUAGAUGGAUCCGCGCCGCAUUAGCUAGUUGGUAAGGUAACGGCUUACCAAGGCAACGAUGCGUAGCCGACCUGAGAGGGUGAUCGGCCACACUGGAACUGAGACACGUCCCAGACUCCUACGGGAGGCAGCAGUAGGGAAUCUUCCGCAAUGGGCGAAAGCCUGACGGAGCAACGCCGCGGGAGUGAUGAAGGUCUUCGGAUCGUAAAACUCUGUUAGUAGGGAAGAACAAAUGUGUAAGUAACUAUGCACGUCUUGACGGUACCUAAUCAGAAAGCCACGGCUAACUACGUG
rnacentral:rRNA from 1 species